rnacentral:rRNA from 1 species
GACGUAGGGCGCGAGCGUUGUCCGGAUUUAUUGGGCGUAAAGAGCUCGUAGGCGGCUUGUUGCGUCGACCGUGAAAACCCGGGGCUCAACUUCGGGCUUGCGGUCGAUACGGGCGGGCUAGAGUUCGGUAGGGGAGACUGGAAUUCCUGGUGUAGCGGUGAAAUGCGCAGAUAUCAGGAGGAACACCGGUGGCGAAGGCGGGUCUCUGGGCAGUAACUGACGCUGAGGAGCGAAAGCGUGGGGAGCGAACAGG